rnacentral:rRNA from 1 species
AUUGAACGCUGGCGGCAUGCCUUACACAUGCAAGUCGAACGGCAGCACGGGAGCUUGCUCCUGGUGGCGAGUGGCGAACGGGUGAGUAAUACAUCGGAACGUACCCAGUAGUGGGGGAUAACGCACCGAAAGGUGCGCUAAUACCGCAUACGACCUAAGGGUGAAAGCGGGGGACCGUAAGGCCUCGCGCUUUUGGAGCGGCCCGUGUCUGAAUAGCUAGUUGGUGGGGUAAAGGCCCACCAAGGCGACGAUCAGUAGCUGGUCUGAGAGGACGAUCAGCCACACUGGGACUGAGACACGGCCCAGACUCCUACGGGAGGCAGCAGUGGGGAAUUUUGGACAAUGGGGGCAACCCUGAUCCAGCAAUGCCGCGUGUGCGAAGAAGGCCUUCGGGUUGUAAAGCACUUUUGUCAGGGAAGAAAUCUUUUGGGCUAAUACCCCGGAAGGAUGACGGUACCUGAAGAAUAAGCACCGGCUAACUACGUGCCAGCCGCCGCAGUAA